AAUUCACUAACCAAACCAGCCCCUUUCUCUCCCAAAAGGAAACCUAGCCGUCACGACCACCCCACCCCACCCCCCAUCACGUCACUUCCGCCACCGCACCCAUCGGACCACCGGACAAACUCCUGCGCCGACAUCACCCAUCGCCUAUCACCUAUCACCUUUUCCCUUUUUGAAGACGUUUCCCAAAAGCUGUAAAGGGAGAGAUUCUUAAAUCCUUCGGUCUGGGAGAUAAUCGUCCUUCAAUUUGAUGAACAAUGGCAAGAACCACCAUACUCUACACCCCAACGGCUCUUUCCCUUCCCAAUCAGUCUGCAAAGUUCUCGGCUGAGCAAAGACCACCUCAAGCGGAUUCCGAGACUCGACGACGAUAAUAGCCUCAGUUUGCUGUCACGGACAAGGUAAUUCUCAUUUUUAUCUUGGUAUUUUAUUCCAGUUCUGUUAGUUCAGGUCGGGUUAGUUCAAUUCAGUUUUAUGAUUUGAAUGUUCCUGUUUUCUUUUAGCUCUUGAGUGUAAGGUAUGGAGUUAUAUUCUUUCCCUUUUAUUUAGCUCAUGAUAAUGUGUUAGGAAAUCCAUUUAGAUGCUAAUAGAAUGUAAGCAUGUGUGGAUAUAUAUCUUGUGAUGUAAUUUGUUCAGCUAUGUUUUGUUCUCUGGUAAUGUAUAUUAGUUUAUGUAGCUUCUCUAAUAAUAUAGACUAGUGUAUAUUGCUUUCUCUCUGUGUCUCUAGUGAUGUUAGAUUAAAGAAUGUUUGUUAAAUCCUGUUUUGUCUUUAGAACAGUGUUCACCAGCACGAUAAAACCUCGGUCGUUUCCUUCAAUAUUAAUUGAAUUCCCUCUAUGAGACAUCUAUUCCUUUUAUACUAAGUUAGUAGUUAAUGCCAUUGGAAUUUUGUUUCAGUGAGAAUCAGCGCAUUUGAAAUUGAAAUUUAUUUUCAACUGAAAGCAUGUUUAAUACAAAUAUGUGUCAAAACCCAGUUUUUCCUAUGUAAACAACUCCCUUAACAGUUUGGAUUGUCUUUUAAUAAGUACGGUGUGCGUUAAAGAAGCAGCCCUUCGUCUCUUCUCAUUAUUUAUCUAUUUUCCUCUCUGCUUUCCAAUGAUUUAUUAUUGUGUUUAGUUGUUUAACUCUCCUUGCUGUGGUUGCGAUAAAUUCUGUUUGGGAAGUAUAAUUCAAAUGUUUAGCCCCUCUCCACCAGUUUAAAUGGAAGCCUGAACCUUUUUUGGUGCAGUGGCACACUGAUUUGUCUAGUGUAUCCUAAUCAAAAAGACUUUAGUUCGUUAUCUUUUUUUCUAGUAUACAUAGUAAAAUCAGUAACUGACCAAUUAGCUGAGCUUAUGGAUUAAUAGUUCCUUAGUACUCUUAGUGUUGUUGGUUAAGAUGUUUCAGUUUCCCCUUGUUUAAAUCAAAGACAAUAGAUUAGUUUAAUGUGGAAUGACUCUUGAACUUCAGAUUUGUCCCAGGGGAAACCUUUUGGGAAAUAGUUUAUAGUAAUGAGAGCUUCUGAUGUUAAUCUUUGUUGAACUUUACCAACCAAGUUAAUGGUUCAAUAUUAGCAUGAAUCCGAGAAAUUUCUAGCUAAUAACUAAGUCUAUCUCAUUAGAAUAGGAUGCUUUCACCCUUCCUUCUUUGUUGUGAUUCAUACUGGCUUUGCUCUAAGUUUAGUUGGUCUAUAGUGUUAUACUCAGUCGGAAUGGAUCCCUAGCAUUGUUGCAAAUAAAUUGAGGUGUUAACUGGGUGUGAGAAGAAGAGUCCUUACUUAAAUGAAUCUGUCCCAAAGGUGAAAUCCAAACCUCCCUUUUCUCAAAACUAUCUGUUGCCAUACAUGCUUUAACUGAAUGAAAUGUUCAAAAUUGGCUACUGAUUUUUAUCCAAAACUCUCUUUCAAAUAAUUGGUUCAACUCUAGUAUUCCUUAUAUCUUUGAGAAAUAUUUUGAAUGAUCCAAUCUAACUCUUUAAAGUUGGUUUAAGUUCAUGAGUUUGCUAAAUAUGUCAUCCUCUAGUUUUUUUUUUUUUUUUUUUGCAUAUUCAAAAUACCAAACACAACUAUUGCCUAGUUCAACCAAGGAAUAUGGACUCCUUCUCUGUGAAAUUUGGGGCAUAUUCGAUUCUGCCUCCUUUAUCUAAACAAAGAUUUAUUUUUACUGAAGUUUUAUUACUUUUACAAAUCAAUCUUGUUGAAAGUUCAGCAUCAUGGUUCAAAUUUGAGAAAAUAGUGAUGGUUUAGCAUGCCUAUUGUUUUUCUCUUAGAGUUGGCUAUGAUAUUUUCCUUUAGCUUUAAAACUGGAGUAGUCAAUAUGCCAAUUGAGUAAAAGAUAGAUCACUGUUGAUGUGUGCUUGUGUCCAUAAUUAGAAAUACAACUUAUGUGUGUAACUAUUUUAAAACUCUAUUCCAUCUUUAGAUCUGAACAUGGAAUUUAGUUCAUUAUGUGUUAUAUUGAAGUUCAACUUGGGGACAAAUCUUUAAAAGAGCUACUAAACAUGUUUUUCUUUUGAAGUUUGCUUGGUUUUAGUCAACCUGCUCUCUUUAAAUGUGUUAGUUUAAGAUAUACACCAUCUGUUUUGAGUUAAUUGCCUCUGAUGAUCUAAGACAUUCCCAAGUAACUGUAAUAUUGAUUUCUGAGGUGUCUGUUGACUCAUAUAGCUUCCAAAACACUAAGUUGAUUCUGCCCUUUUGUCGAAACAAAGAUUUACUUUUGUUGAAAUUUAUUGCUAUUACAAAUCAGUCUGGUUAAGUUCAACAGUGAUUUUGUCUCAAUUUUCUUUACCGUCCUAUUCAAAGAAAUAGAUUAGGAGUUAGAACAUGUUCUACUUGGAUUUAGAACAGAUGAAAAGAAUAGGCUUGAACCCAACACUAUUAAGAAAGAAUGAAGAAGAGGAUCUUAACUUGAACUUGCCAUGAUUACCUCUUUCAACUCUCUAAAGUUUGCAUAACUCUUGGUGAUAAAGGCUAAUGUGGAACCUUGAUUUUUCUCUAAUGAUGUUAUUAUCUGAUGAUUGCAUAUAGCUUCUGUUAUGCAUUGAACUCUGUUAUGUUAUUCUUUUCCUACUGAUUAUGCUGGUUGAAAGUCAAGGAAAACUUUGGUAUGGUUUAGCCUCCUCCAACAACCUACCAUGUCGAGGUUCUAGAAAUCUUUGGAUCUUGUGUGGCGUCGGAAACGCAGAUGGUGGGAGCCCCUUUUGUUGCCUUAGUCUUUUAAGCCUGAUGCUUUGUUCUAUAUGGUCAAUCUUGGAAAGUUGAUAUUUUUUUUAAGAAUUAUGUUGCGUUGAUGCACUCCUUCCCAUAUGCUGGUUUGGUAGCUACUAAAGCCUUGUGCAUCAAGCUAUUUUGAGUGUUUGUUGUCCCUGUUCUUUGUCAAAGACUGCCUUAAAACUAAGUAGCUUUCAAAGGAACCUUAUUUCAUUUGGCCACGGCUUUUUGAUUAGAAACUAGUGCUGAAUGACUACCAAACUUGAAUCUAUUGUUGUCUUAAACCAUUUUCAAGAUUUUGAUUAAAUAUGGCAGAUGAGGUACUUAUUUCAUCUUAUUAAAACCUUCUUUAGGGAUACUCUUCCUGAUUUCUCAUCCUUCAAUUCUUUAAAGUGACUAAUACUUGGUUUUGCUUUCCAGAUUGUUCUCUUUCACUAUUAUGUACUGUUAUGUUUCAUAGACUCUCUUAAAGUUGCGGGGUAACAAAAUAUGAGUCUGUUGGAUGCAAGCAUGAAGGAUUUCUUUUAGCUCUACAUCUACCUGAUUCAAAGUGUGAACAUUCUAUUGAGUUUAGGAAUGUAGCUGUUUCUUAUUAGACCUUUGAAUGAUGUUGGAAUUACGUUAAUCACCCCUCUCUUAAAAGAUCAAAGGGGAAGUCCUAUUUGAAUUCUAGAAAUCUCUUAAUAGGCUUACUUUAUCUCAAACAGCGUGUUGUGCUUACCAGUUGAUUUAAUGUGUUAUUAUGCAACUCUAAUCCUUUUCUUUUCUUUCUUUUUACAUGAACACCAUGGGAGCUUGUUGGAGUUGUGGCUCAACUCUAAUUCUGCCCAGGUCAUAGGAGCAGUCAGUAGCAGAUUUAUUUGCUCGUGUCUAGCCGUCCCUUACUUUCGCGUCAAAAGAAUCCACGUCCCUCUUCCUCCCUUUAAAUUUUAUAUCUUUUGUAUUACUAUAUGUUAUUUGCACCCUUUGACUAACAUCUUUUAUGGGUUUGUAUUUGUAGUAUUUUGUUUCUUGCUUGUUUGUGAACUCGUGAAUGGCCGAGCCUUGUCAUUGGCCACUUUUCCUUAGAUAUAAAUCUUGGUUUAAGGGUA